rnacentral:tRNA from 1 species
AGGGUAAUAGUUAAAAUAUUAACAUUUAAUUUGCAUUUAAAAAUUAUUGAUAAUUCAAUUUACCUUA